AAAACCUAGACACAAAAUGGGGCAUCAGAUUUUUUUCAUACAAUUAGAGACCCCUAGACAAAAACGGCGCAUCAAAAAGCUCCUGCUCCAUUUUUCGUCCUCACACUAAAAAGCAGACGGUCUCCUUCAAAAACGGAGAAUAACGAAAUCAUACCCCCCCCCUCUAUUCGGUCAUUUGGAUUGAGAGCAGAGGAGAGCGAAAUUCUUCUCUAAAUCAAGCUUCCAUCCAUUCUUCUUCUCUCAUCUCCUCUCACAUUGAAAUCAAAAGUUUUCAAGAGAUUCAAAAACAAAAACAAAAAAGGUUUGAUUUCCGAAAAUCUGGGCUCCCAAGAAUUGAUUGUCGAACCUCUGAUGUUGAUUGCUGAAACUUCUGCUGAGUUUCAACUUUGAAAGAUUUCAUCAUUCAUUUGGUUAUUUGAAAUUUUGUUCUCUGUUUUGCUCCCAGGUAUGUCGAAAUUUUUGUUUGUAAUUCCCUUUAAUUGAAAGAUUGUUUGUAUGAGCUGAAGCGGCAUUUCUCUUCUGUUUACAUUUCUUGGUUCAUGGUUUGCUUGUGGAAAUUAUAAUUCUGGAGAAGUUGUUGCUCAUAGUACUAUUUUGUGCUUUAUUUACUUGCGAAUAUUAUUAUAAAUAACCAACUUUUUCAUUAUUGGUCGGGCUAAUAGUGUAGAUUUUAGACUUGAGUCAUUAGAGAAGAGUAGUUCAAUGGUGUUAGGAUGUAAUAAACAAAAUGCUUCAAUUGGAAAGUCAAGCAUCUCUUCAUGAAAUCGGAAUUCACUGGGAUCCUGAUGUCUUUUUAGCCAUUUUCGGAGAUUGAUUUUGUCGAUUUCUUUAACAGCCAGCUAUUAAUUUGACAUUCAUAUGCCAUGUUUGCUGCUCUUUGCUAGACAAACAGUUUGAAAAAAUGGGAUUAUUUUUGUUGUAAAUUUCAUUUUAGUAGUAGGAUGAAUGAUUCAUGUAUUGGUAAUGGAAAUUAUUCAAAGCUUUUGUAUGUAAUAUGGCUAAGCUUUUGAGUUUGCUAAGAUCUUUGAGCUUGUUGGAUUUAAUUCGGCCCAGCUCUGUGAGUAAGGCCUAAUAGAGCCUCACUUUAGAAUAUUGA